AGUGAACGCUGGCGGUAGGCCUAACACAUGCAAGUCGAACGGCAGCACAGUAAGAGCUUGCUCUUACGGGUGGCGAGUGGCGGACGGGUGAGGAAUACAUCGGAAUCUACUUUUUCGUGGGGGAUAACGUAGGGAAACUUACGCUAAUACCGCAUACGACCUACGGGUGAAAGCAGGGGAUCUUCGGACCUUGCGCGAUUGGAUGAGCCGAUGUCGGAUUAGCUAGUUGGCGGGGUAAGGGCCCACCAAGGCGACGAUCCGUAGCUGGUCUGAGAGGAUGAGUGGGCAACAGGGAAGAGGGAUGGGGUCCAGGCGCAUGCGGGAGGCAGCAGUGGGGAAUGGUGGAAAAAGGGCGGAAGCUUGAUACCGCCAUACGGAGUGGGUGAAAAAAGGCUUGUGGUUGGAAAGCCGUUUUGUUGGGAAAGAAAAGCAGCAGGUUAAUAACCCGCUGUUCUGACGGUACCCAAAGAAUAAGCACCGGCUAACUUCGUG
rnacentral:rRNA from 1 species